rnacentral:lncRNA from 1 species
AUGGGACACUCUUGGGAGUCUCUGGAUUCUUUGCAGGGCAAAGAGAAAGCGAAGGUUCAGUGGAGGAGAAGAUGGAAAAGGAUUUUUGCAAAGCUCAGAAGGGUGGUCUGUGUAUCUGCGAACGUGGCAAGUAGAAACAGGACUUUGCCAAACCUGCAGUGUUUAGCUGAUUAUUUUGAAGUUCAUCUGUUUGUUAUUUCCUCCAAGGAUGGAAAAUGUAAGGAAGAGGUGAUCAUCGGUUGCCCCAAGACCACUCGGAUGGAAAGAUUGCAUCUGCAUACUUGCUCCAGUUUCCAGUGGGCUUUCCCUGCUCAGUUUCAGAGGAAUUUUAGAAAACUCCCAGGAAUGAAAACAAAACCCAACCCGGGGAAAGCACAGCUGAAGCACUAUGGGGGAAACUCCAGACAACAGACAUCAACGUGUGAGAUGGCAGAGCACAGAAUCUGGGAACUGGAAAUGAAUGUCUGCUGUCAGAGCAGGAAUGGUCCAAAGCCCUGUGAACUCAGCAGACCAUUUUCCUUUGCUGUGCAAAUCUUCUGUUAA